UCUCUCUCUCUCUCUCUCUCUCUCUCUCUCUCUCUCUCUCUCUCUCUCUCUCUCUCUCUCUCUCUCUCUCUCUCUCUCUCUCUCUGAUGAAGAAGAUGGCCUGUAGGAAUGGUAUAAAUAUCUACUACUUUA